CCCUCUUGACUUCUUCUACACCCUCCUCUCCUCCCCAAAUUUGUAGGCUUGGAACCAUACAUUUUCUGGUGCAAGCACUAAGGCUUACAAGAGUCUAAUGUUAAAUUUCCACCUAAGGAAUUAGGAAAUGCUAGAGAUCAAGACCUUUGUUUAUUCUUUUGUUGAUUGUCUAUACUUUAAAAAGUGAUGGAGAACAUGUUAAUAGCACAGACUAAAUUUAAAGUAUUGUAUCUCAUGUUUACUUUUUUUUUUCCUAGAGAGUCAGUUAUUGGGCAUUUACCAGGAUACCUGCUAUUUGGAACCCUCAGGAGUUGCUUCUCAAGUUCAAGGCUGACGGAUGGCAGGAGCAACAGCCCCAGCAGCCUCCCUAAGGGCUGGGUGGCAGAUGGAAGGACACCUUCCUGGGCCUCAGCAUUGAUCACAGCUCAUCCACAGCAGGUCUUGUACUUCUGGGAAUCUGAAGGCUGAAUGUAUGAGGAUUCCAGUUAAACCUAAACUCCAAAAUCAUUUUUUGCUGCCUUCUAUUUUCUUUGUACUUUUUACUUACCAAUGUUUUUUUUUUAUCAUCUCUGAUCUCAAAGCAUUCUUGUUCUAUCAAUGAGAGCUUGUCAAGUCAAAGUUGGCACUAGGGCAGCUAUGUGAUUCAGGGGAUAGUAUGCCCAGACCAGAGUCAAGAAGACUCAUCUACCUGAGUUCAAAUCUGGCCUCAGACACUCAUUAGCUGUGUGACCCUGGGCAAGUCACUUAAUCCUGUUUGCUUCUGAGAGGGAGAGGAAAAUGACACACCACUCCAGUAUCUUUGCCAAGAAAACCCCAAAUGUGAUCAGGAAGUGUUGGACAUUACUAAAAAAACAAACAAAUCAGAGAUGAUUAUCUUGAAUGAUCUAGAUUAGAUAAGAAACCUGAGAUUUAGGAAGAUCUUGAAUUGAAGUAGGCAGAUCACUUGGUUUAGAAGUCAGGAGACCUUGUCUAAUUCUGACUUUGGCAAUCAAUAAACAUUUAAGUGCCUACA
rnacentral:lncRNA from 1 species